UCGGACUGCAGUCUGCAACUCGACUGCACGAAGCCGGAAUCGCUAGUAAUCGCGGAUCAGCACGCCGCGGUGAAUACGUUCCCGGGCCUUGUACACACCGCCCGUCACACCAUGGAAGUCUGCAAUGCCCGAAGCCGGUGGCCUAACCACUUAUGUGGAAGGAGCCGUCUAAGGCAGGGCAGAUGACUGGGGUGAAGUCGUAACAAGGUAUC
rnacentral:rRNA from 1 species